GGUCAAGAGCGCCAGCGCCAAGUCCCGGCUCGCUGGCCGGCAACCCUCCUGCACGGCGGGGUGCCCCCGGGACCGACGACCGGGCUGCGGUGAUGCGGCAAGCGUGCUCC
rnacentral:ncRNA from 1 species